UGGGGAAUAUUGCACAAUGGGCGCAAGCCUGAUGCAGCCAUGCCGCGUGUGUGAAGAAGGCCUUCGGGUUGUAAAGCACUUUCAGCGAGGAGGAAGGUGGUGAGCUUAAUACGCUCAUCAAUUGACGUUACUCGCAGAAGAAGCACCGGCUAACUCCGUGCCAGCAGCCGCGGUAAUACGGAGGGUGCAAGCGUUAAUCGGAAUUACUGGGCGUAAAGCGCACGCAGGCGGUUUGUUAAGUCAGAUGUGAAAUCCCCGGGCUCAACCUGGGAACUGCAUUUGAAACUGGCAAGCUAGAGUCUCGUAGAGGGGGGUAGAAUUCCAGGUGUAGCGGUGAAAUGCGUAGAGAUCUGGAGGAAUACCGGUGGCGAAGGCGGCCCCCUGGACGAAGACUGACGCUCAGGUGCGAAAGCGUGGGGCAGCAAACAGGAUUAGAUACCCCUGGUAGUCCAGCGCUGUAAAACCGAUGUCGACUUUGGAGGUUGUGCCCUUGAGGCGUGGCUUCCGGAGCUAACGNGUUAAAUCGACCGCC
rnacentral:rRNA from 1 species